rnacentral:tRNA from 1 species
GGCGGGGUGGGUGAGUGGCUAAUACCAGCAGACUGUAAAUCUGCCGCCCGAAGGGCUACGUAGGUUCGAAUCCUACCCCCGCCAC